UUCCUUUUUUAUGGAUAUUUUUCUUGUGUGGAACAUGAGGUUGAAGUGUCCCACUGGAGAAGUAGUGUGCCACUGCAAUCCCCAGGUCCUCCUUUUCCUCGUUGUGGCCACAGCUCCGGCCAUGGCGAUGAGCUUCUUGUCCACCGCUAACACAUCGUUCGUGCCCUUCCGCCGCCUCUCCCGCCACAAGCCCACCGCCGCCCCCUCGCUCCCAUUCCCCAUCAAUCGCUGCCGCUCACCCUCCUGCUCCCUUCUCCCUUCCCAGCGCCGGCGCCUCUUCUCUUCCAAGACCCCCACCACCAACCUCCUCUCAUCAAUCACGGCCGCCUCGAGAACCCUGCUCUUCCUUCUCGUCGCCUCCAUCCUCUCCCUCUCCGGCGUCCGGCGCCCCCUCCCGUCACUCGCCGCCCCUCCCCCACCCACGGAGCAACCGCAAGACGACACCAAGGGACAGCAAGAAGAAGAACCCGACCAAGGGGAUCAGGAAGAGGAGGACGAGGCGGAGUGGUUUCGGAAGGAGGAGGAGGAGGUGGAGGCGGCCUGGAUGCAGCCAAGCGACGACGAGGAGGAGGAAGAGGACGACGACGAGGUCCAGAUGUACCUGGAGGUCCUGAGCGAGGACCCGGGCGACGUGGACGCGCUCAAGUGCGUGCUCUUCGCCAGGAUGCGGCGCAAGGACUGGGGCGGCGCGCUGCGCUACGCGGCGCAGCUGCGGGAGGCCGAGCCCGGCGGGGUGGAGUGGCGGCUCAUGGAGGCGCUGCUGCACGAGCUCAAGGGGGACAUCGCCACCGCCGAGCGGCUCUUCCAGGAGGUCCUCGCGGAGAAGCCCCUCCUCGUCCGGGCUCUCCAUGGACUCGCAUUGUGCAUGCAUAAAAGACUCGAAGGACCAACUGUUUUUGAGAUGCUGGAGAAAGCUUUGCAACUCGUAGUAUCCGAGGAAAGGGUCCCAGAAGAGCGCAACAUAAAGCUUCUGAUUGCACAGAUGCAUGUUGUCAAGGGUGACCUGGAUGUUGCAUCAGAGAAAUUGAGAACUCUUAUUAAUGAGGAUCCAAGGGACUUUCGGCCUCAUCUUUGCCAGGGCAUUGUAUAUGCACUUUUGGACAAAAAGGAAGAAGCAGACGAGCAAUUUGAUGUGUACAGAAGCCUUGUGCCGGACGAGUUCCCGGACAAGAGUUUUAUCAAUGAUGUUAUACUAUUGGCCAAAGUGGAGUCAAAAGAUCGGCUACAGAAGGACUUUAGAUCAGAGUACCUAUCUAAAAAGUGACACUUCAGGUUUUCCUAUACCUGAACGGCUCUUCAUACUUAGUGAGGUAGCUCCAGAUAGUUGCGUAUUUAUGCGCAUACAAUGACACAAAGUGCAACAUUGCUAUAAGUGAGAAUGCAGUAUAAUGAAGAUAAGUGAAGGAGAUGUGGAUCUCCUGUAACCUAACCAGAGACGCACCGUUUCGUUGACCUCUCUUCGUCUUAAAUGGAGGCUAAUUCUGGAACGAGCGCCUCCGCUCCCUCGUCUCGAUGAUGAGAGCUGAAGCACUGAUGGGUACGAGAACCGUAAUGCUUGUAAAUGUCUUCCUUUUGUGCGGGAAUACUAGUUAAAGUCAUUCGGCUGGUAAAUUUGGCUCAA